rnacentral:rRNA from 1 species
UCGCCUGUUUAUCAAAAACAUCGCCUCCUGCAACUAAACUGAGUAUAGGAGGUCCAGCCUGCCCAGUGACUACGGGUUCAACGGCCGCGGUAUUUUGACCGUGCAAAGGUAGCGCAAUCACUUGUCUUUUAAAUAGAGACCUGUAUGAAUGGCUAAACGAGGGCUUAACUGUCUCCCCCUUCAAGUCAGUGAAAUUGAUCUAUCCGUGCAGAAGCGGGUAUAAGCAUACAAGACGAGAAGACCCUUUGGAGCUUAAGGUACAAAAUUCAACCACGUUAAGCAACUUAGUAAAAAGCAAAAACUUAGUGGAGCCUGAAAUUUUACCUUCGGUUGGGGCGACCGCGGAGGAAAAACAAGCCUCCGAGUGGAAUGGGCCAAACCCCUAAAACCAAGAGAGACAUCUCUAAGCCACAGAACAUCUGACCAGAAAUGAUCCGGCUAAUAAGCCGAUCAACGAACCAAGUUACCCUAGGGAUAACAGCGCAAUCCUCUCCCAGAGUCCAUAUCGACGAGGGGGUUUACGACCUCGAUGUUGGAUCAGGACAUCCUAAUGGUGCAGCCGCUAUUAAGGGUUCGUUUGUUCAACGAUUAAAGUCCUACGUGAUCUGAUUCAGACCGGA